rnacentral:rRNA from 1 species
UAAUUGGAAUGAGUACAUUUUAAAUCCCUUAACAAGGACCUAUUGGAGGGCAAGUCUGGUGCCAGCAGCCGCGGUAACUCCAGCUCCAAUAGCGUAUAUUAAAGUUGUUGCGGUUAAAACGUUCGUAGUUGAACUUGUGCUUCAUGCGGGUAGUACAACUAUAAUUGUAGUUCGUACUAUACCUUAUGUAUGUAAGCGUAUUACCGGUGGAGUUCUUAUAUGCAUUAAGUACUUGUACUUAUGCAUGUUCCUCCUAUUUAAACCUGCUUCAGUGCUCUUCAUCGAGUGUUGUUGUGGGCCGGUACAAUUACUUUGAACAAAUUAGAGUGCUUAAAGCAGGCUCCAAAUGCCUGAAUAUUUUGUGCAUGGAAUAAUGAAAUAAGACCUCUGUUCUACUUUCAUUGGUUUUUAGAUCAAGAGGUAAUGAUUAAUAGAAGCAGUUUGGGGGCAUUAGUAUUACGACGCGAGAGGUGAAAUUCUUGGACCGUCGUAAGACUAACUUAAGCGAAAGCAUUUGCCAAAGAUGUUUUCAUUAAUCAAGAACGAAAGUUAGAGGUUCGAAGGCGAUCAGAUACCGCCCUAGUUCUAACCAUAAACGAUGCCAGCUAGCAAUUGGGUGUAGCUAAUUUUAUGGCUCUCUCAGUCGCUUCCCGGGAAACCAAAGCUUUUGGGCUCCGGGGGAAGUAUGGUUGCAAAGCUGAAACUUAAAGGAAUUGACGGAAGGGCACCACCAGGAGUGGAGCCUGCGGCUUAAUUUGACUCA